rnacentral:lncRNA from 1 species
UUGAUCAAGGAAUAUUUCAUCUGCUACAUUGGAAGAUAUUGAAGAUUGCUAGCUAUUAGAGUGCUUGCUUGGAUGUGGCUAUAUUUAUUUGAUGCCUUAAUCUUUAUGAUGUAUGGAUAUUGCUCAUUGCUUAUUAUUUGAUCAAAGUCCAAAGGAAAAUGGGUUUCUAUAUGACAUUCUUGUCUGUUGGAUUGCAUCCCAUUGGUCAGAUCUUUUCAACUCUUAACUUU